GCUGUAACAGCGCCUCUCGUUGGCUGGUGCCGGCACGUGACACCCGCAGGGGCUGCUGGGGGCUGUAGUGCGGGGCGCUGCGAGGCCAUCAGGACAGAAGGCGCAUGCGCGAAAGGGGCACCUGCGGAGGCUGGAGAGGUUCGCUCAGAGACAGCACCAAGAUGCAUCUCCACCCCAUAGCAGAUACACGUGCACUGCAGAGGAGGGCCAGGAAAAACCCAAUACGAACACCAGGAAAGCGACUGCUGCUCAUCCUAGCGUGACUAUCAGUUUACUGCCAAGUACCAAAGACAUUUUUUCCACGCAGUGCAUUCAGUGGCGUGAUGCAACUACUGCCCCCAGCCAGGGGAGAAAACAGUGCUGACAUCAGGCCUUCUCCAACAAGAAGUGAUUUCAAAAGAAGGAUACCAGUGUAAAUCAAAAUAAGAUUAAUUAUUAUCAUUACAAUGAACACACGUCAACACAGAACAAGGCCUACCUUGAAGAACAAGCAAGCUAAGUACCCUAUGAUCUCCCUUGCAGGCAGCAGGAAAGAAACUCGCUCCCGGUUCCUGCUGUACUCUGGCAACAUCAGUGACAGUAAGAGAAAUAAAUGACUGCAUCUCACUAUGGCCAACAGGUCCAGCAAUUUCUGUUUAACAGCAACAGGAAGGACUACCAGUGAAGGAACUCUUUUCUCUUGGAUUACCACAACAUCCAUUUGAUCAGUAAAAUAAGAGGCUGCAAGAUGCAAGUUCAGUUAUUAAUAUACUGACUUAAAAAUCAACAGUUCCAGAGUUAAAAAUGUCUCUCUCAUAAGAUCUUGAAAACAAAUCCAAAUGAAAUGUUAGUGGGCUAAUGCUACAAAAACAUUGUAUUUCACCCUUUCUUUGUAGCACCCUUGGUAUUCUAUAAUCCUACCCACCCCUCCCUUUAAGCCAGCUGUCAUUUUCAUUAAUGGGUAUGCACACUCAGAAGCAAAAAAUGAAGUACGAAACAUUUGAACCGAUUCCUUUCACACUAAUGCUGCUUUUUACAUCUUAUGGAAUGUGAAGAGAAGCAGGAAAAGGACAAUGCUAGCAGUUCUGACACUUCCAAUCCACCUUACCUCCAACUGCAAGACUCAUGAGGCAGCAUAUCAAAAGUUAUUUCACCCAGCAAGCUUAGUAUUGACCAAUAUUUAAUAUAACAAGGAGCAUUGUGCAACUUCCCCAAGGUGAUUUGGCAAUUUAUAAAGCCAUUACAAAGGCCUAUCCAAGAGAAAAGCCAUAACAUUUUGUGCCUUCACUUGUUUAAGAAAUUGCCUAAUUUCAGACCCGUCUCCACCAAAGCUUUUCAGGAUUCUAAGCCCCAGGUCAAAAGAAAAGGUCAAAUCUUCUGCAUCUACAGAAGAAAAUAGCCAUAGUACAUUAACAACUACUCACCCAUUUCAUUUUAAAAAGAGGCCAGCCCUUAGCUCUUCUCCAAUGAGUUUACACAUGGGGCCAAUUUCAAGGCAAGACAAGGUUACUCUGCAACUGCUGGCCCACUUUGAACGACUGAACCCCCUACACCCUUUGCUUUUAAAUUAAGCCAUGUGGUAAUACAUAUACAUUAAUGACAGGAAUCACAACACAUUCUUAAGAUUUAGAUGAUGUUCGUGCAGUUAAAAGAAAAAAAAAAAAGAGGUAAAAAUACACAUUAUGCGUAUAUAUAUUUUUAAAAAAAAAAUCUGUAU